UACAGAGGUCCCAAGCGUUGUUCGGAUUCAUUGGGCCUAAAGCAUCCGUAGCCGGUUCUACAAGUCUUCCGUUAAAUCCAACUGCUUAACAGGUGGGCUGCGGAAGAUACUAUAGAGCUAGGAGGCGGGAGAGGCAAGCGGUACUCGAUGGGUAGGGGUAAAAUCCGUUGAUCCAUUGAAGACCACCAGUGGCGAAGGCGGCUUGCCAGAACGCGCUCGACGGUGAGGGAUGAAAGCUGGGGGAGCAAACCGG
rnacentral:rRNA from 1 species